rnacentral:rRNA from 1 species
AGAUUGAACGCUGGCGGCAUGCCUUACACAUGCAAGUCGAACGGCAGCACGGGAGCAAUCCUGGUGGCGAGUGGCGAACGGGUGAGUAAUACAUCGGAACGUGCCCAAUCGUGGGGGAUAACGCAGCGAAAGCUGUGCUAAUACCGCAUAAGAUCUACGGAUGAAAGCAGGGGAUCGGCAAGACCUUGCGCGAAAUGGAGCGGCCGAAUGGCAGUAUUAGGUAGUUGGUGAAGGUAAGCUCACCAAGCUUCGAUCUGUAGCUGGUCUAGGAGACGGACGACCGACGCCACGUACGUGGGGACUGGAGACCACGGCCCAGACGUCCGACGGGACGCAGGCGAACGGUGGGGUAAUUUUAGGAACGUAAGGU